rnacentral:rRNA from 1 species
GUCUAAGACCAUAUCAGCCUGAAUGUGCCCAAUCUCAUCUGGUCUCAGAAGCUAAGCAGGGUCGGGCCUGAUUAGUACUGAGAUGGAAGACAGAUCUUCAGAAGAGACU